rnacentral:rRNA from 1 species
AGCAGCCGCGGUAAUUCCAGCUCCAAUAGCGUAUAUUAAAGUUGUUGCAGUUAAAAAGCUCGUAGUUGAAUUUCGGGAUCAAUAUGUCAGUCGUGCCUUGGUACGUACUGGUAUCAUUGGUCUCUCCUUUCUGACGAACCAUGAUGUCAUUAAUUUGGUGUUAUGGGAAGUUAGGACUGUUACUUUGAAAAAAUUAGAGUGUUUAAAGCAGGCUUUAGCUUGAAUACAUUAGCAUGGAAUAAUGAAAUAGGACGUUCGAACCUAUUUUGUUGGUUUCUAGGAUCAACGUAAUGAUUAAUAGGGAUAGUUGGGGGCAUUAGUAUUCAAUUGUCAGAGGUGAAAUUCUUGGAUUUAUUGAAGACUAACUACUGCGAAAGCAUUUGCCAAGGAUGUUUUCAUUAAUCAAGAACGAAAGUUAGGGGAUCGAAGACGAUCAGAUACCGUCGUAGUCUUAACCAUAAACUAUGCCGA